rnacentral:lncRNA from 1 species
CCGGGUGUUGAUGCUAAGGCUCGGGCCCUGAGGAAAAACCAUAGUGCCUAAUAGCGCGAUAGUGAAUGCCAAAGGUCUGAUCCCGUCCCAUUCUCUGAAGGUAACCCUGAACUCUUGAUUGUAAUUAGCAUAAAAGGUUGCAUUCCCGAAUCUAACAUAGAGAUCCAUGAAAGAAACGCUAGAACCAUCGGCCCAGAAGGCGUAAUCCUUUCUUAAUCCGAGCCAAUUUAUAAUAUCCUCGAGAGUAGGCUUGUUAGGGAUUAAGAUGUGUUCCUAUUUUCUCACUCUUCUUUCAAGCCCUGUACCGACUGUGUCUAUUCCAUCCCGAAUUUCCUCAAUUGUCGGGGUGAUUUCCAUAGUUCCAAAUCUGAACACCAUUUUCUCGUUGUCCCAAUAACCCGUGAGUACUUCAAUAAGCUCAGGCCAUCCAACCAUGUUAAUGAGUUC